AUACAGGCACGAAGAAGCAGGCAUGGCUCAUUGCAGCACCGAACGCACAAGGAUUGCUCCACCCGUAGUGCAAACAGGCUCACGUGCAUCCCUUGUAUUACAUAUGCAAAGGUUCUCCUGGACGGCACAGAACUGUGCUGACUUUGAACGGGAAUUAAUGUCAAAGAUGCCCCUGAAGUCCAAAGCUGGAAUUCAGAUGAAAGGCUUCUACAAUGUGUUUUGUGACAUCCCCAAAGGCCACAACUUGGAGGCAAGCAAGGCAUCGCAAAUGCAGUCAGUCUGUGGUCCAGCUGAUGUCUCUGAGCUCCCCUCCUGCUUUAACCUCAAACCGUUUGAUCUGGAUGAUAAAUAAUAAGCCCAGGAGAAAAGUACUGUGCGGCUCCAUGGUAACUGGUGCUGGUAUCAACUUAUCAAUGAAAACAUCA